rnacentral:rRNA from 1 species
CAUGGCUCAGAUUGAACGCUGGCGGCAGGCCUAACACAUGCAAGUCGAGCGGUAGAGAGAAGCUUGCUUCUCUUGAGAGCGGCGGACGGGUGAGUAAUGCCUAGGAAUCUGCCUGGUAGUGGGGGAUAACGUUCGGAAACGGACGCUAAUACCGCAUACGUCCUACGGGAGAAAGCAGGGGACCUUCGGGCCUUGCGCUAUCAGAUGAGCCUAGGUCGGAUUAGCUAGUUGGUGAGGUAAUGGCUCACCAAGGCGACGAUCCGUAACUGGUCUGAGAGGAUGAUCAGUCACACUGGAACUGAGACACGGUCCAGACUCCUACGGGAGGCAGCAGUGGGGAAUAUUGGACAAUGGGCGAAAGCCUGAUCCAGCCAUGCCGCGUGUGUGAAGAAGGUCUUCGGAUUGUAAAGCACUUUAAGUUGGGAGGAAGGGCAGUUACCUAAUACGUGAUUGUUUUGACGUUACCGACAGAAUAAGCACCGGCUAACUCUGUGCCAGCAGCCGCGGUAAUACAGAGGGUGCAAGCGUUAAUCGGAAUUACUGGGCGUAAAGCGCGCGUAGGUGGUUAGUUAAGUUGGAUGUGAAAUCCCCGGGCUCAACCUGGGAACUGCAUUCAAAACUGACUGACUAGAGUAUGGUAGAGGGUGGUGGAAUUUCCCUGUGUAGCGGUGAAAUGCGUAGAUAUAGGAAGGAACCACCCCAGUGGCGAAGGCGACCCCCCCCUGGA